UAAAAAAAAAUUUCCCUCUAGUUCCUCGCAUUAUGCUGGUGGGUCUAAACACCAGUCUCAGCUCUGGCAGCAUAUUAAAAUCACCAAGCGAUUUAGUUUGUAUUAUUUUACCUUCGCACCUGUGUCUAACUCUGCCUUCUUUUUGACCUAGAGAGUUUCCCUAACAGUUACUAUGUGUGUGUGUGGGGCCGCCAGUGAGGAAUGACAGAGGAGAGGCCAGAACCCCACAGUGCUUACCAUGACCAUAUGUUUUGCUUCUCCCCAGAUUGCCCUCAGCCGUUAGCGGAAGUCACAAAGUCCAUAGAACGCAGGCCUUCGAUGGACAGGUGGUCCAGGUCGCCUGUGGUCAGGACCAUAGUGUGUUCCUAACGGAUAAAGGAGAAGUCUAUUCUGGUGGAUGGGGCGCAGCUGGGCAAGCAGGUGACGGUGCCAGGAGAGCCUGUGGAUGUGGCGUGUGGUGUGGAUCACAUGGUGACUCUGGCCAAGUCGUUCAUCUGAGUCUCCUACCUGACCCACUCGAGCCCGGCCCUGGCCUCAGAACCACUUGGACUGCUUAGCAGAGGCAGCCAGCCGGGGCUCUUGAUGGGGGUCAGAGAGGAUCAGGCCCUUCGUGAAGUGUGACGCAGUCUCCUAAAGCCCUCAGUAGGAACAUACUAGAAGUCCCGGGACGUGGGCCCUUCUCCAGCUAAGGAGGAGACCUGCUGAAUUCAGCACGGGACGGCUGCCUUUAGUGGGCCAAGCUCCAGUGAGAUGAGUCCCAGGGCUGUGUGGUCCUGGCAAGGCGAGGCUAAUUCACACAUCUCGGCUCUUUCCACGGAACACAUGCCAGCCUCUGGUGUCACGUCUGGCCUGAGAACUUGGUCUUAGGAAAGCUUAGCUCUCAUAGCAUGCCAUUUUGGUGGAUCUUCAAAGGUGGCCUGACGGAAUUUAGUGUCAGGGGAGCUUCUGCGGCCCCCUCUGACCACGGCAGAGCUCUCGGUUGGCGUCUGGGCAGGCUGUGUGUGGGCGUCAGUGCAGGGCCUGGCCGAAAUGAGGGAGGUGGGCUGGUUUCGGUCUGGGGUUUUCAUUCAGAUCCCCCUGCCCGCUCAGCCAUUUCCUGUCAGCUGCCCACGGCCAGCUCGCUGCUGGGACACACACAGAAAUCCCUGGACUGGGGUUCUCCCUGGGAAUACCAGUGGGCGCCAGCCCAGUACCCCUGGGCCCAUGGGUGUCACCAGCCUUGUAACCAUUCUCACUGCCUGGCUUGGAAGAGUUGAGAAGCUCCCGCAGGAAGAAGAUUGAGGCCAAAUUCUUGUGGGCUGAGGGCUCAGAGCACAUCCUGCAGAGGCUUGACUGGAGAGAAGAAAGAUUCGGAAUUUGUGAAAAACAUUUGAGUUAGUAACGUAACUCAUCUUUUUCUUUAAGCACAAUUUUAAAAUUCUCUUUUGGAAUAAAGUCUAUUUUCUGUCUUU